GUGUAGGUUUAGGGUUGGGUUAGGAUAGAGUUAGGAUAGGGUUAGGAGUAGGGGGUAGGGUUAGAGGUAGGGUUAGGAGUAGGCUUAGGUGUAGAGGUACCCUAACCCUACUCCUAACCCUACUUCUAACCCUACACUUAACCCUACUCCUAACCCUAAUUCUAACCCAACCCUUACCCUACUCCUACCCCUAACAAUAUUUCUAACCCUACCCCUACUCCAAUCCCAACCCUACCCUUAACCUUACUC